rnacentral:rRNA from 1 species
UACGGUAGGGUGCGAGCGUUAAUCGGAAUUACUGGGCGUAAAGCGUGCGCAGGCGGUGAUGUAAGACCAGUUGUGGAAAUCCCCGGGCUCAACCUGGGAACUGCAUCUGUGACUGCAUCGCUGGAGUGCGGCAGAGGGGGAUGGAAUUCCGCGUGUAGUGGUGAAAUGCGUAGAGAUGCGGAAGAACACCAGUGGCGAAGGCGGCUCACUGGGCUCCACCUGACGCGUGAAGGCGCGAAAGCGUGGGGAGCGAACCGG